UACGUAGGGCGCAAGCGUUGUCCGGAAUUAUUGGGCGUAAAGCGCGCGCAGGCGGCUUCUUAAGUCUGAUGUGAAAUCUUGCGGCUCAACCGCAAGCGGCCAUUGGAAACUGGGAGGCUUGAGUGCAGAAGAGGAGAGUGGAAUUCCACGUGUAGCGGUGAAAUGCGUAGAGAUGUGGAGGAACACCAGUGGCGAAGGCGGCUUACUGGACUGUAACUGACGCUGAGGCGCGAAAGCGUGGGGAGCAAACAGG
rnacentral:rRNA from 1 species